rnacentral:misc_RNA from 1 species
CGCACAUUGCGCCUUUUGGUAUUCCGAAAGGCAUGCCUGUUUGAGUGUCAUAUAGACUCUUAUACCUAGUUUUCUAUGUAUGAGCUUUGGACGCUGCCAUUCUGUGGCUCGUCUUAAAUGUCUAAGUGGAAUGCGUAAUAAGUUUUCGCUCCCUCCACUCUAAUACUCUUUAGUUUAGACCUCAAAUCAGGUAGGACUACCCGCUGAACUUAA